UUCUCCAUAGUUUUUAAAAAAUCUUAACAGUCUCUUUACCUUCUUCGGCUGUCACAUGCCACCAUUGCUGGAAAACACCACAACACCCAUAACCACGCCGCCUCUUAUUUUCUCUCUCUCCUCUCCUUCCUCACCGGUGAGCAACAUCAUUCGGUGAACUCCGUCACUGCUCCGGCAGAUCUGGACGAAACAAGCCAAGCUCCGACAAAGUCCUCGCGCCAGAUCUGCAAUGCCAACCACAAGUUAGUCGGAUGUUUGAACUCUGAAACUUCUAUAUAAUUUUCCAUUUUGACUUAUGAAUUUGUUACCUAUUUUACUUGAUUUUGUUCUAAUAUUUCUUGGUGUGAUGUUUCUCUCAUGGAUUUUCAAUUAUUAUCAUGUCAUUAUUUGUAUCAUCAUCACUUGCUAUUAAUGUUAGUUUGAUUGUUUUGGUAAUUAUUGUUGAUAUUUUUAUUUGCUAAUGAUUGUCUUCACUGUGAUGUUUGGACUGAUUUUUACAUUAUUUUAGUUGAGCUUGUGUUAUGUGUUAUUUUGUUUAAGGCCAUCUCACUCCUGUGAGUAGGGGUGUACAUAGGUCGGGUUGGUUUGGUUUUUAUUCAAUAAAAAAUAAAUCAAUAAUGUCAGUUUAUUAAAACUAUAAACCAAAUCAAACCAACAUAAAAUCGAUUUUUUCGGUUUAGGUUUCAGUCGGUUCUUUCGAUUUUUUCAAUUUUUUUUGAGUUUUCUCAAAUUUUUUAAUAAUUUUUAUUUUUUUACAAUUAUAUUUUGGUUGAAGACUAGAUCAAGUAUGUUUUCGCUCACGUGCUAAUGAAAAAACUCAAUUAUGAAAAAUUGAGGAGCGAAAAACUCUCUUGAAACUAAAAAGUAAGAUGAAGAGUGAAAAGUUUAGGUUUUAAGUUUAUAUUGGGCUUUGGAUCAUUUUAUUAGCAAUUAAUGAACAAAUAUUACAAAUUAAUAUAUAUAUAUAUAUAUAUAUACUAUUAGAUCAUAUUUAUAUGUUGUAGAAGGUAUACAAUGUGGGAUAAUUUAAAGAAAAAAAUUCAUAAAAACACAACUUAAGAUACCAAAAAUACUAACAAUCACUUCAAUUUGAAAAUAUUAUAAGAAUCCCUAUUUUUAUUAUUUUAACCAAAAGGUAAAGAUACAUCUUAAGAGAGCCCUAUUUUUGCCAGAUUGAAGUAGCGAGUUUCUCCUCCAUCAACGGCACUUUUGAAGGUGCGGUUUCUUGCCAUUAUUAUCUCAACUUCUUUAUAUAUUUAAUCAUAAAUAUUAAAUAAUUUUUGAAUUGUUCAAUUUUUUUCCAUCUUCAACUUUAAUUUUCAUAUAUUUGACUGAUAUUUGGGCUACUUGGUUUUUGAAUAUUUUUUAUUUAUUUAAUAAAAAUAAUCAAGUUUUCAUUUUAUUGGCCGAUGAAGGAAUUUUUUCGUCGAUUUCUGAGUCCUCCACAAAUGAAAAGAUGGAUAUUACAUAAAUAAAUACAUAAUAAAAUAAAUAAAUUUGGGCGAUGACGAAAUCCUUAUAAUAUUUUAAAACUUUAUCUGAGCCCACUCUUUUAACGAAAAAUUAUAUUUUUUUACAUAUAUAUGCACACAUAUUUUUUCAAUUUAUUUUGAUAACUAGUGUAUAUUUCUGCGCUUCACGCGGUUAAAGUAACAAUGAAAUUCUUUUUUCAAUAUUUGGAUAUUAAAAAUAGUGCUAUUAAUGUAAUUCUGUUAUUUCAAAAAUUAUUUUUUAUCUAAUAAAAUGGUUAAAGUUAAAAAUAUUUGUAAUUGACUUCUUAAUAUUUCAAUUAUUUUCAUCUUAUUCUUAUAGUAAUAUGAGAACUUUGUUUUCAAAUUUUUCAAAAAUUAACAAAGCAAAAGGAAAAAAGUCUUCUUUUGCUUCUUCUUAUAUUUAUGCAUUUACAAGAGUUAGAGUCGUAAUUUUUCUGAAUAACCAAGUCUAUUUCUCUUCCUUCUCUAAUUAAUCAAUCUUAUGAAAAAUUUCAAGUAUCAGUUUUCUUGAAUAGUUUAUCCUAUCAUUAUAAUGCAUUAUUAUUAUUUUUUUUUAAUUUAAUAGAGAAGUCAAGAAAAAUAGAUACAAAAUAUUCAAAAAGAAGAAUAUCUGAAUCCGACGAAUAUUCAUGAAAAGACAUGAAAUUUUUUUACAAAAAAUAUCAAAUGAAAAGGAGUAAAAUCUUAAUUCAAUACAGAAGUCAAGAAAAAUAGAUACCAAAAAUUCAAAAAGAAGAAUAUCUGAAUCCGACGAAUAUUCAUGAAAAGAUAUGGAAAAAAAUUACAAAAAAUGUCAAAUGAAAAAGAGUAAAAUCACAAUAAUGAAGAAUAUGAGAAAAAAAGUUCAUAGAAAUAGAGAAAGUUAUGCAAUAAAAAGCAUGUCUCUAGUAUUUAUAGUAACAAAAAAGUCAUAUUAAUUAAAUAAAUGUCUCAAUUACUAUCAUUUUAUGUUGCUUAAAAGGAUAAAACUCUUCGACCUUUUUACAUUCUUUUUAAUACCAAUAAUAAUAAAAGUAUUCUCAUCAAGUUCCGCUUUACAAAUUUCAAAAGUAUAAAAUAGAAUCUAAAACCCUUACUUUCAUUAACACGUACAAUCAAAAAAAUAUAGACUACAAAUUAAGUGUAAUAAUUAGUUGCAAUAAAAAUCAUUUAAAAUGAAAAACAAAGAAGGUAAAGGAGAUAUCUAAAGAAACUUGUAAAUAGAAAUAAUGAUUAGGCUAAGGGGAGAAGAAAAUGGUACUUUCUUGGUUCGCUUUUAUUUGUCAUUAAUUUUCUAAUUGAAUUUCUAUCUUUACUUGUGAUUUUUGACAUAUUAAGAAAAGACAACUUCUUUUUUCUUAUUUUGCCCUUAAAAUUAAUUGUUUUUUCUAUAAAUUAAUCUCAAAACACAAUAUAAACAUUAUUUAAUACUCCCUCUGUCCCAAAUUACCCAUUCCAAAUUGAGAUAACACAUUAAUUACGAAAAAUAAUUAAUAACAUGGCUAGUUUACCAUAGUAUCUCUAUUAAAUGAUGUUUACAUUUUAAUUUAAAUAAAAAGUAAUUAAUGCAAAGGGUAAAACAUAACUUUUUUUUUUGUCUCUUCUUGAUUAAUGAAAAAAGAUAAGUAAAAUGAGAAAUAAAAUUAGAAAAUCUGGGACGGAUAAUUUGGGAUGGAGGGAGUAUGGUAUUAUAGUAAAAUAGUCAUGUUAUUAAUUUUUUUCUUAAUUAAUGUGCCAAAUCAAAAUAUGACAAAUUAAAUCAAACGGAGGAAGUAUAUAACUUACACAGAGAGAAAACGAAGAGUAUUAAGAAAAUUAAUUAAUCAUAUUAAUUAUUCUUAAUAUCAAUAAAUUAUUUAUGUUUGCACUGAAGUCAAUCUUUACCUGAGAGUUUAUUAAUUUGUAAUUAAAAAUCAGACAAAGAUUAAAAAUUUUAUAAAAACAUAAAUGCUAAUGCUUGGCCAUAUAAAUUGGUGGAGUGGAGAUGAGCCAAAAAUGAAGAACUUUUUUCUUUUUUUCCAUUUCUUUAAAUAUAGCUUUUCUUGCCCUAUAAAAUGUGCCACAUUUUUGCGCAGAUAUGAAAAAUACAUAUCAAUAUCUGAUUGGAUAUUUAUGUCAUAAUUAUAUUAAAAAACUAAUAAAUUAAUCAUUCUAUCAACUUUUUAGUAGUAAUUAUUUUAAUAAAAAAAUAAAUUUUCUAAUAAAAAUUUAAUGAUAAAAAAAAUUAUUUUUUUAUGUGUUUGCAGAAAAGUCUUAAUUCUAAGAAUUAAAAAGAGAAAAAAAAAUUAAUAAAAAGUAAAUAAAGCUACCCUCAAUCCACAAUAAUUGAGGAAAGAACGACAACACUAAUAAAAAAAAUAUUUGAAUGACCUUGGGAAGGCUAACCUUGCACAUCACCUGUCUCAAAGGAUUUAUAAAUAAAACGUUCGCUAUUUCUAUUCAAUUAAUAAAGUACAUAUUAGAAAUUAAUAUCAAACAACACUUUAAAUUGUACAUGCAUUUUAAAUUCAAAAGACGAAAAUGUUUUAAAAACUAUUAUUUUUUAAAAUAAAAAAAGUAAUGAAGAAUAUUGGAAAUGCAAACUUAAUCUGUCAUUACGUUUGUUUUCUUCCUCUAAGCAUUAUUUUUAGUAUUUGAUUUUUUUAUAUGAAGUAUGCACAAUUAUGUUAACAUUGACAUUAUUUUCACUCUCUCAAAUAAAAAUUAUAAGCGGAUGAAAAGAGGACACCCAAAGAAAGCUUUUUUUUUUUGUUUUCUUCCAUUUAUUUUUUUCUUUUUUUAGUGUAUUCUAUUUUUAUCUAUUUAAUUUAAGAUAUCUUAGUUCUAAAGCAAAUCAAACAAUAAAAUUUAAAAGUAAUACUACGAAACAAUUGUUUUGGUUUUUAUUUUAUGUAUCUUAUACUAAUUACUAAAUAAUUAACAUAAAAUAUUAGAUGGAAAGAAAAUGGGAAGUUAUUUAAAAUUUUGUUGUUAAUAAUUUUCAUAUACAUUAUUGAAAGAAAAGAAAAAAAAUGAAAAGAGAUCCGAAAUUAAAGAAAAGAAAAUUUGACUUCUAAGUAGUGUUCCCCUCUAUUUUUUCAUUUGCAUUUUCUGUUUGUUCCUCCUUUUAUUCUCCCCCAUUAAUUCUAUUUUUAGCUAUUCAAGCAAAUUAUCUUAAUUAACAUUCUAAUUUUUUGUAAAUUUCACAAAUAAUUUUCUUUCUUGUUAACUUUUCUAACCAUUUUAGAAUGGGCAUGUCACAGUUAUAUUUUUGUAUAAAAAUGAGGAGGAAAAUGAAAAGAUACUUCAUAAUUCAUAGAGACUUCAAGGUUGUACAAAUGAUUGAAGUGUAAACCUCCAAAGAAAUAUAGGAGUAGCAACAAAUGUAUAAAAGAUACGAGUUUCACACAACUAUAUUCCAGUAGACUUGACUCACAUAGGUAGCCCAAAUCACUACUAGAAAUUAGCCCUAUGACAAUGGUUCAAAUUCCGUUGCGAUAGAUCAAAAAAUCGUUGCAAUAGAUCUACCGCAACGGUUAGGCAGGAGUUGCAUAUGUGAGUGUUGGGAUAGGUCUAUCGCAACGGUUGUUACAACGGUUACGAAAACCGUUGCAAUAGAUGGACCUAUUGCAACGAUUUUUCUAACCUCCUAUUGCAACGUUUUGUAUAGUGUAUAGCAACAGUACCAAACCGUUGCAAUAGAAUAUAUUACAACGAUGGAAAACCGUUGCAAUAACCCUAUUGCAAUAAUUUUCGGAUAUCUACUGCAACACUUAUUGGUCCAUUGCAACGCUUUUUGACACCUAUUGCAACGAUUAGUAUAUAUAUAUAUAGAGAGAGAGAGAGAGAGAGAAUUAUAUUAAUACAAUUAUAUAUAUAUAUAUACACAUCACAACAAAAUCUUUCAUUAAUAUAGUAAUCCUAAUUAAAAUUUUAUGCAACUAUAUAAAUUAGUAUUUACAUAUAUAAUCACGUCACAAGACAAAUCUUUACAACAAGCUAGUAAUCUAAAUCCAAAAGUAGAAAGUCUAGGACCUUCUUGUAACCUUCUCCACUGAACAACAACACCAGAAGUAUCCAUACCUCCUGCAAAAUAUAGCUUUAAUGCUUCGUAUACUCCAAACAUAACAGAAUUUCCUGGUACUUCUCGUGCGGCGUAAUCUGCAAUUUAUGAGUUUAGUCAGGCAGGCAAGAAAUAAUGUAACAGUUCCAACAAUAAUGGCUAUUCGUAUGCCUCAUAUUAUUUUUCAAGCAAACACUGUGGAAGGCCCUACUGCAGUUGUUAUUUUCACAUAUACAAUCAGUGCUACUUCAGCUUCUACCACCAAGUUCUUCACCUAUAUUGACAUCACCAAGUCAAUGCCAUCCACAGAAUAUCAAUGGGUUUAUCUUAUGGAUAGAGGAUUACCAAUUGAAAGAUAUGGAGCAUAACAAAUGCCACAUUCAUUUUUUGGAUUAGUUUUCUGAAUGCUUGAAGGACUAUGGAGUUGAAUGUCCAAUAUGUUUUGCAAGAUUCUCCGGAAAUGGCUUGUCUCUCAUCCUGCACAUUCUGUUUGUUUUAAACUGUAAAUUAGACAAGACUCAUAAGUGCAAACACUUAAACAUGUACUCAGGAAUUUAAAAAGAAACCCAAAACUCAAGAAUCCAAAAUUAGUCUUGCCAAGGAGACUAUACAAAAGCACAAAGUGGUGCAGUGACUAAUUGCUAGAAAUUGCAAGUGCUACAAACUACUUCCAAGGCGUGUCAUAAUAUUGGACGUCUCAAACAAUAAAAUCACAAACCACUCUAAGCAGAUAGAAAAAGUUUAGUAGUUGUACAACUUCAAGUUUUAAAAAGAAAAGCAGUCUUAGUACCUUGCUUGUCCCCCUAAAUUGGAGAUACUGGACAACUGCUGCUUGUAAAUCAUUAACUUCCACUUCACGAGCCUCAAAAUUAGGUGUCUCAGUACCUUCCUUAACAUUAUUAUAGAGUGAUCCUGAAAAAGCAUCAUGAGAUGAUAACAUGCAACUUGACACAGACAAGAGAAUGCCAAUAAUAUAUACAUUCAAUUUAAGUGUCUCACCGAAGACAUGAUACUAUUCCCAUCAGAUAUAUCAGGCACAUACAAAUAGUUAGGAGGUACUGGUAAGUAUUGUAGGAUGUAUCCCUCCUAUGGGUAAUAGCCUUUGGCUGAUAGCUUUUUUCUCGUAUCUUCACGAAUUCUGCUCAAAAUUGCCAGGACCUAAACUUAUGUACGAUAACAAGAACAAGAUAAAAGCAAAUUGAAUUGAGAUAUCUUUAAGCCAACACACAAUUGAAUUCGGCAUGGAGAACUAUCAAUUCAAAGAAAACUUAUUGACAAACUAUAAAGAGAACUCCAUAACAUUUUAUGAUAGGUACAACUGCCAACAAACAAAUUAUGGGGAAUGAUCCAACAAAAUAAAUCUCCAAUACUAUCAAAAGUUUAAAUACAUAAUACCAGAUGAGAUGUAUUUCAUUCCCAACGUAAACAUUGUCACUAGUAGAAAAUACUGAUUUCUAGAGAAAGAGAAAUCAACCUGGUCAUUCCCACUCUCCUUUUAGGUGUCAAUUGCACUACCACGGAAAAAAUUCAACAAGCACGGUAUUAGUAUUAAUAUCAGUUCAUUUCCCCCUCUUUGUUGGCCACCAUAAAUAAUAUUUUUAGGCUUUAUGUUGUUGUGCAUUUGUCCAGCUGAUCUUUCUAUAAAAGAGAGUUAUAAAAUGAACUUUAUUCCAGGAAGAUAGGAAUUCAUAAAUAAUAGAGAUUGCAUUAGUAUAAUCUUCAGGCUCAGGUCCCCGUGGCAGAAUCGUGAGGCACAAGCAAAAGGGAAAGGGAAUAAUCACCUUAUUGCAAUACAGUCGUAAUUCUCCAUCUGCCAAUCACUUUAGUUUUCCCGUAAAUUACAAAGCUGCGACUUCACAGGAAAUGGAUUUGCAUGGAAGUCUAAGACUCUAAGUGAUGGAAUCAUGAAGCUUUGACAUCAGAAGGCAACAUAGCAAAGGCAGUCAAAAUCAAAUACAUUAACCGCUAGAAAUAGAUCGAGGCACCAGAAAUGCAUGCGUAGUUUUAUGAGCAACGCAAGAUGUAUAACAAAGAUAAUAACCAAUCAAUUAAGCUCAUUACAGAAGUUAACUAUUUGUAACGACAGGAAUAACCAUUACCACAGCGGUAGCCAUAUUUCUCCAAGAAAAUUCACUCUUGAAGCUUUGCAGCAUUUUUUGGUACUUUCAGCUCCAAAUAGAAGAUCAAAAAGAGAGAUGAGAACAUAGUAAGACUUGCUGAUACGCAUGAGUUUAGAGAGCUAUUAUAGAGAUAUAAAGACUUCUUCUUUUUCCGAUCCUUAAUGUGAAUAUUUUCACUUGUUAUUAAUUUCAAAGGUGCAACUCAUAGCAAGGUACAUAUUCGUACUUCUCUCACAUUAUUUAUUUUGUAUUUGCUUAUAAGGGGAAUUCUUUGUUGGAAUUUUUAUGCAAUAACAUAUACCUAAGGACUUCUUGGCUAUAGAAAAUAAUGAAGAAAUUAUUUGAGUUUGAAAUGAGACAUGUCAACAAUCAUCAACUCUAGUAGCAGAAGCCAAAGACCAAAAACCAGCACAUCACAUAGAGUAUUCGAGUGAAUAAGUGUUAGCGUCUUACUUGGGCGUGUUCCACAGCCCAAACUUCGUUCAUCAAUAUGUUCAACAUCAAGCCCAAUAAACCAAGAUCCAAGAGAAACAUCUUUAUUUCCAUACCAAGAAUGACUCAAACCUGAAACACUAUUAGGAUGGAAGGAUCAUAUUCAUCUUUCCAUAAUCUUUAACUGUCUAUCAUAGUAAUAGACCUGCAAUACCAUCCCACACUAAUCAAUUUAUAAAAUUUAAUCAAUUCACUAACCUAUGCUUUAAUUCAAGGAAGUGGAAGUAUGAUACUACUGUUUCGUCAACUGGUAAUCUACGGUGGACGGUAGCAUUCCCGUCAGCCCGAUGGAGUAAAUGAGCCUAUUACUAGGUAUUUCAGUAUUCAAUUGAAAAGCCAAAUAGAUUCUAGAGUUCUCAGCUGCAACAGAGGAUGUAAAGUUAACAAGCUGGAGAUUUCCCUCAUCAGGCAACACCUGAUAGGAAAAAAUUCAAAAUCUAUACUUUAGUCGAUUCAGAAUGAAUAUGAUCUUAUUAUACGUACAAGAACUCCCGUUGGUCUAGUUUUAAGUGUUUCUCAAGUCCACGAACCACCAUCUCCAUCUCAGGCUGUAAGAUAGCCAAUAAAAUAAUAAAUAGCAUGAAAUAGUUUGAACUAUGGUGCAAAGUCCAAUAGCACCUUAAAAUAGCGACAACUAGAAAAAUUACUACAAAUGGUAAAUAUUCCAUAUUCUAGGAUGAUCGCUAGCCAUUUUCUUCAGAUAGUAAAUUAUACUCCAUCAAAAAUUGGGAUCAAGAAUAAGUUAUAACUGUUAUUUUUUCUUGGAUUCUUUUAUUUUUAAAAGAUAUCAAUGGCUUAAUGCUAAGAUGUUUCCAAAAGAAUUAAAACAGAACACACCAUGAGAUACACAAAUAGAGCAUAAAUCAGACGAACUUAACAAAGUAUAAAAUGAAGAGAUACAAAAUGAGAACUCUUUAGGAGGAAAUAUCUGGUGAAUGACACAAAUUUUAAACAGUUUCACCACAGCUUCAGAAUGCUUUCCUUGUAUUUCUAAGGCCUGAAAAUUAAAAUAUUAUAGUAGCAUUAGUAGAAGCAAAAUAUAAGGAACUGAAAUUGAAGUCAGAGUAGCAACGGUCAGAGCAUAGUGAAGUCGGAGCACUGUGCUCCAAAGUCAUCUGCGUCUCCCUACUCCCACCCCCACCCCUACUACAAUCUCCAUCCAUACCUCAUCUACAGUCUUACUGAGCACCACAUCCCCACCACCACCACCACCGGCGACCACAACAAUAGAAUUAAUAGCAACAAAAGUGGUGACGGUGAAGGUAACAGUGGGGUCAGAAGCAAAAGGAUUAGAAUCAGAAUAAAUAUUCUUGAGAAUUUCAUCCAUGUUCAUAGAAUUGAAGUUUCUAGAGGGAUAAGAGUGAAGUUGAUGAUGUAGAAAAGAUGAAGAAGAAUGACCCGAAUUAGGCAGUCAAUUUGAGAGUUAAUCAGUCAAAGAGCUCAAUGAAAUAGCACAGUGAAAUUGGGUCAUCGGAGCUUAAGGAAACAUCGGUGAAAUUGGGGACACAAUUUUUAUAUUUCUUUGAUUUUUGGCAAUAUUGGGGAGGGAAAUAAAAAACGUUACAAUAGUAUUUUUUUUUCCAAUAAAGCGUUGUCAUAGAUGACUUAAUGGCAACAAUUCAUGCAACCAUUGCUAUAAGGCACUUUAUUGCAAUGGUUCUUCAAUAAUAGUAACGGUUAUACUAUAAAAUCGUUCUAUCAGAAUAAUUUUUUUUUUUGCAACAGUUGUAACCAUUGCAAUAGACCCUCUAUUGCAAUGCUUUUGGAACCGUUGCUAAAAAGUUCGUUGCAAUAGGGGUAAUUUUUAGUAGUGAAUAUUUCAACUCCUCUUAUUGCUUAAUCUUCUUGAAUAGUCCCAUUAGAUCUUCUGAGAAAUGUUUUUGCUGUGGAAUUACUCGGCUUAAAUUUUAGGGAGCUUGGUGUAUCAAUUUCCAUCAGAAGCAACUCUUUCGCAGUAGAUAUAGCCAUGCGUAACGUAAAUAAAGUCUACAGCUUCUGGUGGUUCAAUCUCCUCGUACUUCCUGUAGAUUAUCAAAUCAAAAUACGCUCAAUAGCAAAAACAAAUAACUAAAUUACUAUAAGUUUCAAAGUCAAACAAAGAUACUUACACAUCAAGAUGAUCAUCAAGGAAAUACCUAAAAGUUGAAGUUCGUCUCAAUGCUACUUAAAGACUUUUUUGAAUUUUCCUCCUGAACGUACUAAUGCUCCUAUUAGUAAUUAGUUAGCUGGUUUUAAUUUUUUGUUUUUGGUUUUGGUUAUGGAUUUACUGUUGAUAGCACAUAAGAAGAAGAAGAAUAACCAACAAUUUAAGAGAAAGAAAUCCAAACCUACACACUCAACUCCUCCAAUCCUCCUUAUAUAUACAAUUCAAUCUACGAUUAGGAACUUAAGAGUUGUCUAAAAUGUGGGGGAGAGGAAAAACCUUUUUGGCUUCAAAAAUAAAUUUAAUACAAAUUAAUGUGGAUAAUUAUAGACUUAAUGAUAGAUUGAUUAAAUUUUCAACAAAUAUUUUGAAGGAAAUAUAAAAGAAAAAAGCCAAAAAAUUGAUAAAAAAGAUAAAUACUAAUGGUGGCCUUAGAAGUAUGCCACAUAAGCAAAUCUCUAAGCCUCUUUUAUAUAUAUAUAUAUAUAUAUUUAUAUAUAUAUAUAUAUAUACAUUAUUUAUUCGUUACUAACAUUUCAUUUACAAGUGUUUAUAUAGGAUAUUAAGAAUACUCAUCGGGAAUGACAUUCAAAGAAGACUUUAAUUUUUAUGUUUGUAUUUUUAUACUUUUAUACUUGUACAACUAUUAAUUAUAGGGAAAUAUUUAUUUUUGGUGUAUUGGGCGGGAUAUUCUUUAUUUACGCAAUCCUCACCAUGUGUUAGGCAAUUUUAGGCUGUUAAUAUUUCUAUUAAAAAUUAGUUCAGAUAUUGAAUUAAAUAAUUCACACUUUUUACACUAAAUUAUUACGUAGUCUUUUCUUUAAAGUAAUUUUUCUUUAUUCAAUCUUGUCUUUUCUUUACAUACAUAUCGUAUAUACUUUUGUUUAUAUAUACGACAACAUACGCAUUGUAUUAUUUCAAUACAUAUUUUAUAUUUGUAUUUACAAACAUUGAUUUUUCUUUUUUUUUUUCUCUUUUAAUAAAUCUAAGUCUGGCUGGGAACCACAUUUGUGGACUCUGAAGGGUGUCUAAUCCCUUCUCUUUGGAAAAAUUUGAAUCCUUAUCCAGAAUCUAAAUUUAUUUCGUAGAUUAAAAACACAAUUCAUACUUGUUAAUAAAUAAGUAGGUUUCCUAUUUUUCCUUAAAAAUUAGGUGGUGAUUCUGUACAUAAUGUAUUCUUUUAGAGUCUAUAAUGUCGUGCUCAUUUUAACCUUAGGUAAAAAUAGGGUAUGAUAGUUUGGUGACUCUGCUGGGGAAGCAAGGUUCUAACCAUUACAGACUUAGGUAACCAUAUUGUUUUUUAUGUUUUGCUAAUUAUCUUGAUUUAUCUUGUUUAUAUGACAUAAAUUGUUUAUUUGUUAUUAUUUUGUAUAGAUUGUUUAUUUGUUUAUUAUUUUAUAUAAAUUGACAUUCGGUUCAUAUUUCCUCCAUUUCGGGAUACUGACACUCACACACAUUGUACACACGAAUUGUACAUUGUACUUUUCCAAAAUUCUUUCAAAUCACCUUAUUUUAGAGAGUUGACGCAUACAUGGAGUGAGCGAGAGUUUUACUACCGUGGAACCACGUGUCUUCUCAUAUAAAAUAUUCAAGUCCGAGUCUACCCACUCUUAGUAAACAUAGGAUAGAACUAAAAAAAUACCCUUUAGGUGCAUACAUCGUUAGUCAACUUUAUGUCCGAAGGGUUCACGACCCAAGUGACGCAUUAUUAUAGUCUUUGUACACAUUUGAAGAAUUAUUAUGUCUGUACAUAUUUAUUUGCUCUAAAUUGAUUAUACUUUAGUGAGAAGGUGUAGUCUAGCCUUUGUUUUGCAUAGAGGAUCAGUUAAAAAUAUGCACCUUAGCAAUAUUGCCACUAUUAACCUGAUUCUUGCCCUGACAAGAUACGUAGACAACCCUGAAUUAGGAUUCGGUCUCUUCACUAUUUCAAAAUAAUUUCUCUGGUACUCAAAACUGAGGUAAUUUUUUGAAACAGUUCAUAAUGCUCUCCAAAAUUCUUCAAAAGCGUAAUUUAAUAGCUCCUCAAAUCCAAAUUCCAUUGACAUUAGUGCCUAGCCGAACUAUCUCUAGAUUUUCACCCGAUUUUUAUUCAAGAAUACCUAACUUGUUCUUCAGAAUGUCAUAAACCAUUAAAUUUAUGGCGUAUCGAUCCUCACUUUCAAAAGUAAGGUUUUAAUUUUUUCCAGUUAUAAUAAUCCUGCCAACUGCAGUGAAAUAUCAUCAUAAUUUCUUCAAUGUCUGACUUUUUCAAUCUUGUCAGCAUACUGAAGUUGUUUCAAAGCUCACCCAUGCUUGACACCCAUUCUCUCGAUUAUUUGAACAGAACAAUUUUGAUGUUAAAAACAGUUCUUUACUGAUCGUCUUUCAUAUUAUUUUCAAGAAUGACCAUCAUUUUUUUACAAUCAUACAUUGCACAUACAAAUUUAUAAAUUUGCUUGAACUACAUAGACCUGAUUCUUAUUUUUACAAGAUACGUAGGCAACCCUCAUUUGGGUUCGGUCUCAUUUUAAAAAAAUAAAUCAAAAUCUUGGAUUGGUUAGUACUAAUACAGUUAGGAGUGUGCAUGAAAAAUAAUAAAUUUGUAUAAUGAAAAGAACCGACUUCAUGAUAAAUCAUAGAUUAUUUUGGUACCUUUUAUCACACUCGAGUAACACCCGAAAAAUCUCUUGCAUACAUCUAAGACUAGAAUGAAGACAACCUUAUCAUUUCAUGUGUAUUGUAUGGUGAACUUUAGUUUAAUUCUCUACAUUGCAUUAUUGAUCUGGAACUUGGCCUAAAUGUUUGUUGAGGCAAAAUUCUGAGUCACACUUGGUUUAGGAAAGGAUUGUAGGCCCUCUUUGAUCUGAUUGUGCCUUUCACAGUCCAGCAAUUGACAUUAAUCCCUAGUAUUUCCUCUUUUGAGGCUAAAACCUUUCUUUGGACAACCGCAUAUGAGCCUAUACCUUUUUGAGUGCUUACAUGCACUAUCCCUCUCUUGGCCAUACCUCCUUGAGUACACUAAAUAUGUAAAAAUUAUGGACGAAGAUUAAAGAUAAAAGAUGUAAAAUGCAAAAGAUAUAUUAUCUCGGAAGAACAAAAUGAAAAACGACUAUAAAAGAAGCAAAGCCCCCACAAAAAAAAAAGAAAAAAAAGAAAUAUAUAAUUUCUUGAAAAAAAGGGACAAAAUCCAACACAAGAUUAAAGUUGAAGCAUAUACAAAAACAAAGGACAACAAAGAAGAUCACGCGUCUAAGUGCAACAAACGUCGAAAGCACAAAUGCAGUGUAGUUCCAUUGAGGAAUUAGUCACUUUUAUUUCAAAUAUCAUUCUACCCACCCCUAAUCCUACAUUAUAAGCUAAUAACAAGUCCUACAGGAUUCUAUUUCAAGUGUCCUCACAUUAAUGGAUACUUACAUGAAGGUCAAGCCUAUGGUAUUACAUUUGCAUGCAUUGGAUUUCUUGUUGAGUGAGAGUGUAUUUAUCUAGACGUCCAUAAUUAAAAAAGAAAAUUACACAAAUAUAAGCAAAAUGGGACUUUCCUUUUGGAGAGGGCACUUGAAACAUGAGAAUAAACAUAACUCAAAAUCUUUGUUUGAAGCAAGACGAACAAAUCUUGUCAAUACUUUGGUAUGUUUGAGGUACCAAAUGAAACUAUAGGAGUUACCUUGAAGUUGAUCUCGAUUAGCUGGGAAGGAGUGUUAGGGUUUUUGCCUUGAUUUUCUUACCAAAUAUAAGUUUUACUUUUUCUUGGAAGGAAAGUAAAAGUAACCAUAAUUACUUUUAUCUUUCCUAAAAGGGAAAUAUAGUUCUUUUCCAUAUUUGACUAACCUAUUUCUUAUAGAAAAGGUUUUGAAACUCUAUAAAUAGAAGAUCCCCUUCUCAUACCAUAGCACAAUAGCAUCCACAAUAUAGUUCUUAAAGUGUCUUUGUUUGGGGGAGAUUUUUUCCCAACAUGUUUUAUGCUUUUCCAAUAGGUUUUAGGCUUUUCAAUUUUAUUUUUAAUAUGUAGGCCGUUUGAUCAAACCAUAUCCAUAAUAUAACUUUUUCGUAUAUUUUUAUUUGUCAUCUGAAUUAACACCAUAUUAGUUUGCAAACUUUAAGUUUCCGUAUGAUGCCCUCUCGAUUUUGAACCCAACAAGUGGUAUCAAAGCCUAUGUUUCAAUGGUCCUGCAUCUAAUGAGAACGGAAAACCAAUAUAUUUAUUACCUUGAACAAAAUUUAUAUGGCUGGGUUGCUUGCUCAAAGUUUUUGCUGGAGCAUGGACACACCAGAGGUAAAAUUGACAAUACCCUUUUCUUAAAAACUAAUGGAAAGGAUUUGUUAGUUAUGUAGGUGCAUGUGGAUGACAUUAUUUUUGGCUCAACCAACAUGAAUAUGACUCAUGACUUUGCUAAACUCAUGAGUUGUGAGUUUAAAAUAAGCAUGACAGGGGAGUUGAAUUACUUCCUGGGUCUUCAAAUAAAACAGUCAGCAUCAGGAACAAUGAUCCAUCAACAAAAGUAUGUCAAAGAGCUUCUCAAGAAAUUCUCCAUGGAGGAAACUAAAGAAAUAAGUACUAUUGCCACUGCCAUAAAACUUGAUCUAGAUGAAACAGGUUCUGAUGUAGAACAAAAAUUGUAUGGAGGUAUGAUAGGGUCCUUAUUGUAUCUCACAACAAACAAACCUGACAUUGUGUUUAGUGUAGGACUGUGUGCAAUGUUUCAAGCUAAUCCAAAAGAAUCCCAUCUGAAGUCUGUAAAAAGAAUCUUUAGAUAUUUGAAAGGAACUAGUGAUCUUAGGUUGUCGUAUCCUAAAGGUAGUAACUUUAAUUUGGUAGAAUACUCUGAUGCUGAUUAUGCAGGAUAUUUGGUGAACAGGAAAAGCACUACAGGUAUGGCACACUUCUUAGGAUCAUGUUAGAUUACCUGGUCCACAAAGAAGCAAAAUUCAGUAGCUUUGUCUACUGCUGAGGCUGAAUACGUUGCUGCUGGGUCAUGCUGUGCUCAAUUGUUAUGGAUCAAACAACAACUUCUGGAUUUUGGGGUAGAUGUAGGUUGUGUUCCCAUCUUUUGUGAUAACAUAAGUUCUAUAAACAUAGCAAAAAAUCCUGUCCAACAUAAAAGAACUAAGCAUAUUGAUAUCCGUCAUUACUUCCUUCGAGAUAAUGUUAAAAAAGGAAAUAUAUCAAUUAUGUUUUAUUCAACUGAGGAAUAAAUUGCUGACGUAUUCACUAAGGCUUUGAGUAGGGAACACUUUGAAAAAAAUAGGUUAGCAUUGGGGAUGAUUAAAAUUGUAUAAAUCUCCUUCAAUGAUUGACUAGAAUAUGCUAUGCCUGAGUGAUUGUUGAUUAAUUCAGUCUUACAUAUUUACUUGUGUGUCCUAAUUCCAAGAUUUAAAGCAAUGUGAUAUAUCUAUGUUUUUUUUUUUUUGAUAGAUGGAUCAUCAAGGCAAGAGUGGUCAUG
rnacentral:lncRNA from 1 species